AUACUUACCUGGACGGGGUCGAUGGCUGAUCAAGAAAAGUCGUGGCCUAUGCUAGUGGUUCACAUUGCACUUGGUGGAUGCGUUGGGCCUACCUACCAUCUCCUCAAGUGGAAGAGUGGACGUCAUAAUUUGUGGUAGAGGGGGUACGCGUUCGCGCGCCCCCUGC